UAAUUUGCUCAGCGGUAGAGCACUGGUCUCGUAAGGCAGGUGUCGUGAGUUUAAACCUCACUGGAGGAG
rnacentral:tRNA from 1 species